UGAGUAACCUGCCCUGGACUUUGGGAUAACCCUCGGAAACGGGGGCUAAUACCGGAUAUGACGCACUCUCGCAUGGGAUGUGUGUGGAAAGUUUUUCGGUCUGGGAUGGGCUCGCGGCCUAUCAGCUUGUUGGUGGGGUGAUGGCCUACCAAGGCGACGACGGGUAGCUGGUCUGAGAGGAUGGCCAGCCACAUUGGGACUGAGACACGGCCCAGACUCCUACGGGAGCA
rnacentral:rRNA from 1 species